AAUAGAUACCCGGGUAGUCCACGCCGUAAACGAUGUCGACUUGGAGGUUGUUCCCUUGAGGAGUGGGCUUCCGGAGCUAACGCGUUAAGUCGACCGCCUGGGGAGUACGGCCGCAAGGUUAAAACUCAAAUGAAUUGACGGGGGGCCCGCACAAGCGGUGGAGCAUGUGGUUUAAUUCGAUGCAACGCGAAGAACCUUACCUACUCUUGACAUCCAGAGAACUUAGCAGAGAUGCUUUGGUGCCUUCGGGAACUCUGAGACAGGUGCUGCAUGGCUGUCGUCAGCUCGUGUUGUGAAAUGUUGGGUUAAGUCCCGCAACGAGCGCAACCCUUAUCCUUUGUUGCCAGCGGUCCGGCCGGGAACUCAAAGGAGACUGCCAGUGAUGAACUGGAGGAAGGUGGGGAUGACGUCAAGUCAUCAUGGCCCUUACGAGUAGGGCUACACACGUGCUACAAUGGCGCAUACAAAAGAAGAAGCGACCUCGCGAGAGCAAGCGGACCUCAUAAAAGUGCGUCGUAGCCCGGA
rnacentral:rRNA from 1 species